rnacentral:rRNA from 1 species
AAACAUCUCCCUUAGUAAUAUUAAAGGUCGUGCCUGCUCACUGGUUUAAGAGCUGCAGUAUCCCAACUGCACUAAGGUAGCAUAAUAAUUUGUCUCUUAAUUGGGGACUCGAAUAAAAGGCUUAACGUAAAAAAAAUUGUUCCUUUUUUACACAAAAAAUUAUAUUUGAAUUUAAAUAUUUAAAAAAUCUUGAAAGACGAUAAGACCCUAUAAAAUUUUACUUUCUAAAUAAAGAAAUAGAUAGUUUUUUUUAAAAAGUUUAGCUGGGACGGCAAAAAUAUUUGUAACCUGUUGACUUUAAAACAAAUAUAAAUGAAAGUACAAAUGACCCCAAAGUCUUCAAAUCAAAUUACUUUAGGGGUAACAGCGUAAUUUUUCUUAAAGCUCUUAUUGAAAGAAAAGAUUACGACCUCGAUGUUGAAUUAAGAUACCUCUAAAAUGCAAAAAG